rnacentral:rRNA from 1 species
GACGAGGCACUACGGUGCUGAAGCAACAAAUGCCCUGCUUCCAGGAAAAGCCUCUAAGCAUCAGGUAACAUCAAAUCGUACCCCAAACCGACACAGGUGGUCAGGUAGAGAAUACCAAGGCGCUUGAGAGAACUCGGGUGAAGGAACUAGGCAAAAUGGUGCCGUAACUUCGGGAGAAGGCACGCUGACACGUAGGUGAAGUGAUUUACUCAUGGAGCUGAAGUCAGUCGAAGAUACCAGCUGGCUGCAACUGUUUAUUAAAAACACAGCACUGUGCAAACACGAAAGUGGACGUAUACGGUGUGACGCCUGCCCGGUGCCGGAAGGUUAAUUGAUGGGGUCAGCGCAAGCGAAGCUCCUGAUCGAAGCCCCGGUAAACGGCGGCCGUAACUAUAACGGUCCUAAGGUAGCGAAAUUCCUUGUCGGGUAAGUUCCGACCUGCACGAAUGGCGUAAUGAUGGCCAGGCUGUCUCCACCCGAGACUCAGUGAAAUUGAACUCGCUGUGAAGAUGCAGUGUACCCGCGGCAAGACGGAAAGACCCCGUGAACCUUUACUAUAGCUUGACACUGAACAUUGAGCCUUGAUGUGUAGGAUAGGUGGGAGGCUUUGAAGUGUGGACGCCAGUCUGCAUGGAGCCGACCUUGAAAUACCACCCUUUAAUGUUUGAUGUUCUAACGUGGACCCGUAAUCCGGGUUGCGGACAGUGUCUGGUGGGUAGUUUGACUGGGGCGGUCUCCUCCUAAAGAGUAACGGAGGAGCACGAAGGUUGGCUAAUCCUGGUCGGACAUCAGGAGGUUAGUGCAAUGGCAUAAGCCAGCUUGACUGCGAGCGUGACGGCGCGAGCAGGUGCGAAAGCAGGUCAUAGUGAUCCGGUGGUUCUGAAUGGAAGGGCCAUCGCUCAACGGAUAAAAGGUACUCCGGGGAUAACAGGCUGAUACCGCCCAAGAGUUCAUAUCGACGGCGGUGUUUGGCACCUCGAUGUCGGCUCAUCACAUCCUGGGGCUGAAGUAGGUCCCAAGGGUAUGGCUGUUCGCCAUUUAAAGUGGUACGCGAGCUGGGUUUAGAACGUCGUGAGACAGUUCGGUCCCUAUCUGCCGUGGGCGCUGGAGAACUGAGGGGGGCUGCUCCUAGUACGAGAGGACCGGAGUGGACGCAUCACUGGUGUUCGGGUUGUCAUGCCAAUGGCACUGCCCGGUAGCUAAAUGCGGAAGAGAUAAGUGCUGAAAGCAUCUAAGCACGAAACUUGCCCCGAGAUGAGUUCUCCCUGAGACUUAGAGUCUCCUGAAGGAACGUUGAAGACGACGACGUUGAUAGGCCGGGU